rnacentral:lncRNA from 1 species
UGGAAUAUCUAUAUUUAGGUACACAGACGCUGUAUUUUUGUCGCGGUGAAUAUAAUGUUUUAUGAACGAGAAUUUCCUAUGCUGAUAGCCAAUGAGAAAAAAACCCCAAUAUUCAGUCAUAUAAUAAUAUCCUUUGUCUUAAAAAUGAACCAUAUUUCGUUGAGAAAUAAAUCUAAAAGAGUAAUGUAAUAUCCUUUUGUUAACGGAUGUUUGUCUUAUUGACAGAGUUAGUUGUAUUAUCUCACUGACAAUUCAUAAUUUGAAUAUAUAGCUUGACAUUUUCGACAAAUCCUCCUAUUUUGUAAUAAUUG